UAUUAUUUGAAAUAUAAAUUAUUUAAAUAGACUAGUAUUAGAUAUAUUCUUAAAAUUUAAUAAAUUUGGCGGUAUUUUAAUCUGUUCAGAGGAAUUUGUUUUAUAAUUGAUAAUCCUCAUUAUAUCUUACUUAAUUUUGUUUAAUUUGUAUAUCGUCGUCAUAAGAAUUUCUUUAUAAAGAAAAAAUUUUCUAAAAUUUUUAUUAAUAAUAAUGUCAGAUCAAGGUGCAGUUUAUGAUUAAGUAAAAAUGAAUUACAAUAAAUUUAUUUAAAACGAAUUUAAAAAUUAAUUUUUUUUAAUGAAGGUGGAUUUGAUAGUAAAAUAAACAAUAAUAUUUAUUUGAUUUUAGUUAUAAAAUAUGUACAUAUCGCCCG
rnacentral:rRNA from 1 species